rnacentral:rRNA from 1 species
UACGUAGGUGACAAGCGUUGUCCGGAUUUACUGGGCGUAAAGAGCGCGCAGGCGGUCGUUCAAGUCGAGUGUGAAAGCCCCCGGCUCAACUGGGGAGGGUCACUCGAUACUGAUCGACUCGAAGGCAGGAGAGGGAAGUGGAAUUCCCGGUGUAGUGGUGAAAUGCGUAGAUAUUGGGAAGAACACCGAUGGCGAAGGCAGCCAUCUGGACCGACACUGACGCUGAGGCGCGAAAGCGUGGGGAGCAAACAGG